rnacentral:rRNA from 1 species
AUUGAACGCUGGCGGCAUGCCUUACACAUGCAAGUCGAACGGCAGCAUGAUCUAGCUUGCUAGAUUGAUGGCGAGUGGCGAACGGGUGAGUCAUACAUCGGAACGUGCUCUGUAGUGGGGGAUAACUAGUCGAAAGAUUAGCUAAUACCGCAUACCACCUGAGGGUGAAAGUGGGGGACCGCAAGGCCUCAUGCUAUAGGAGCGGCCGAUGUCUGAUUAGCUAGUUGGUGAGGUAAAGGCUCACCAAGGCGACGAUCAGUAGCUGGUCUGAGAGGACGAUCAGCCACACUGGAACUGAGACACGGCCCAGACUCCUACGGGAGGCAGCAGUGGGGAAUUUUGGACAAUGGGCGAAAGCCUGAUCCAGCAAUGCCGCGUGUGUGAAGAAGGCCUUCGGGUUGUAAAGCACUUUUGUCCGGAAAGAAAUGGUUCUGGUUAAUACCUGGGGUCGAUGACGGUACCGGAAGAAUAAGGACCGGCUAACUACGUG